GGAGGAUGAAGAUGAGGAGGAUGAAGAUGACGACUUUGAUGAUGCUGAACUUACUGGCCUUGGUGCUAAAAUUGCAAGGACACAGAAAUAUCUACAAGCUACAAUGGGUGGGGUUGAGGAUGAAAUGCAUGAUGAAACUGAACAGGAGAAUGAAGAGAAGUCUAUGUGGGGAAGAGGAAAGACCAUUUAUUAUCAAAAUAAAGAGACUGUUGAAGAGUCAAGUGACGAGGAUCUUAUCGCCGAGGAGGAGGCAGAGGUAUUGAGAAUGCAGCAGAAAAAAGCUAAAUCCUUAUCUGCAGCGGAUUUUGGGAUUGAAGAUGAUGAACUCACAUUUGAGGAAAUUUUGGUCCAAGGAAAAUCUGGAUCAGCAGUGUCUGCAGACGGAGAAGCCAAAAAUGAAAAUGACACUGCUUAUGAGGAAGUGCAGAAGGAUUUGAAUGCUUUGACAAAAGAAGAGCAAAUGGAUGUUGUCUAUAGUUCUGCACCUGAAUUGGUUGGUUUGCUGUCUGAGCUUGGUGAAGCACUUGAGCAGCUCGAUAACAAAGUUAAUCCCCUAUUCAACAAGAUUAAUGGAAAGAAUAUGAUAAAAGGCGGGAUGCACUACAUUGAGGUGAAGAAGCUGCUGCUGCUGUCAUAUUGCCAAGCUAUAACUUUC
rnacentral:misc_RNA from 1 species